CAUCAUUGUUGUUUUCUUCAUUAUAUUUGUUGGAUUUUGUCUUUGUUCUGUCUUCAAGUUCGUGAGUUCUUGAGA
rnacentral:ribozyme from 1 species